GACGAACGCUGGCGGCGUGCUUAACACAUGCAAGUCGAACGGAAAGGCCCUGCUUUUGUGGGGUGCUCGAGUGGCGAACGGGUGAGUAACACGUGAGUAACCUGCCCUUGACUUUGGGAUAACUUCAGGAAACUGGGGCUAAUACCGGAUAGGAGCUCCUGCUGCAUGGUGGGGGUUGGAAAGUUUCGGCGGUUGGGGAUGGACUCGCGGCUGAUCAGCUUGUUGGUGGGGUAGUGGCUUACCAAGGCUUUGCCGGGUAGCCGGCCUGAGAGGGUGACCGGCCUCAUUGGGACUGAGAUACGGCCCAGACUCCUACGGGAGGCAGCAGUGGGGAAUAUUGCACAAUGGGCGGAAGCCUGAUGCAGCAACGCCGCGUGCGGGAUGACGGCCUUCGGGUUGUAAACCGCUUUCGCCUGUGACGAAGAGUGAGUGACGGUAAUGGGUAAAGAAGCACCGGCUAACUACGUG
rnacentral:rRNA from 1 species